CGCAGGUAAAGGAAGCAGGACCAAAGAGACAUGAUUUCGUUGAGAGAACGAGUCUUCUCGUUAUUGUGAAGAAGUUCAGUGAGAAUUCAAAAUGCAGAAUUUUGGGUGGAAGUGCUCCUGUUUUCUUUUGCGGUUGCUGUUUUGUCCUCGUCAUCAUCCUGACUAAAGAUUUUUCCAAUUCUUAUCCGUUUGGAAGUGUUGGCUAAUUCCUCCUCCAUCUCUUCACGGGUCUCUGGAAGUGACCACAGUUAAUACAACUUGUUGUUCCCGAGUCAUAGUAAAGAUUUGUUCAAAAUGAACGAAUCAUUCGAAAAUCUACCGGAAAUAGUACACCAUCCGGGUACCUUUGGGAUCCUCAUCUCAACAAACUACAAUUCGGAACACACUACUUCUGAUCUCGUAUACUAUUUAGGAUGGAUAUUAGGCGAAUUAGGACGCGACAAAUGGUUUGUCAUGUUACAGAGAAACCGG
ensembl:lncRNA